rnacentral:rRNA from 1 species
GCAAGUCGAACGGUAACAGGUCGCUGAGAUCUUUUCGGAGUGAACUUGACGCUGACGAGUGGCGGACGGGUGAGUAAUAAUUAGGAAUCUACCCAGUAGUGGGGGACAACUUCCGGAAACGGGAGCUAAUACCGCAUACACCCUACGGGUAAAAGUGGAGGACCUUCGGACUUCACGCUAUUGGAUGAGCCUAAGUCGGAUUAGCUAGUUGGUGAGGUAAAGGCUCACCAAGGCAACGAUCCGUAGCUGGUCUGAGAGGACGAUC